rnacentral:rRNA from 1 species
AGAGUUUGAUCCUGGCUCAGAGCGAACGCUGGCGGCAGGCCUAACACAUGCAAGUCGAACGGACCCUUCGGGGGUUAGUGGCGGACGGGUGAGUAACACGUGGGAACGCGCCUUUAGGUUCGGAAUAGCUCCUGGAAACGGGUGGUAAUGCCGAAUGUGCCCUUCGGGGGAAAGAUUUAUCGCCUUUAGAGCGGCCCGCGUCUGAUUAGCUAGUUGGUGGGGUAAUGGCCCACCAAGGCUACGAUCAGUAGCUGAUCUGAGAGGAUGACCAGCCACAUUGGGACUGAGACACGGCCCAAACUCCUACGGGAGGCAGCAGUGGGGAAUCUUGCGCAAUGGGCGAAAGCCUGACGCAGCCAUGCCGCGUGUAUGAUGAAGGUCUUAGGAUUGUAAAAUACUUUCACCGGUGAAGAUAAUGACUGUAGCCGGAGAAGAAGCCCCGGCUAACUUCGUG